ensembl:lncRNA
AUGUUCCGCGGCACCGGAUUGGCUGGAAUAAGGUUAAGGAGGGCUGUGAUUGGCUUAGCCCGUGCCAUCAGGAUUCCUCCAGCGGACUGUUGUGCUCCGAGCCGACACGCUGAACGCAAACACACACACACACACACACACACACACACACACAGACUCAGACUCGCAUCACCACACACACACACCAGAGCAGCAGCAGCAGAGCAGCCGGCGGGAUGUGGUGAUGCUGCUGGGCAGUCUGAUCAGCUGAGGAGGGUGGUCAUGGAGUGGAGAGUGCCGCAGAUAUUUGAGAUUACACUCGUCUCCCUAUGAGAAGCUGGUUAAUAAAUGGUAAGUAAAUGUAGCAUUUCAGAGAAAAAAAAAAGUAUUUUGAAAGUGUUAUUUCAUAUGAU